rnacentral:rRNA from 1 species
AUGAACAAUGGCCGCCCCACCAGGAAACGCUCUUCUAUGAUCAAGAUUGGCUCUGCUCCUAAACUGCGUGUGCUGGGAUACCUUAAGCCAGGAGAGCAAGAGCUGGCUGGGAGCAAGGAGAACAUUGUCCCUAGUGUGCAGAUUUUGGGCAUAGAGGUGCAGUUCGGCCUCCGCAAUGCUGUUAAGAAAGUGCCUGGCUUUCUCAGAUGUUUCCCCAACCUGGAGACGCUCCAUGUCCAUUCCCACCCCAUAUCUGAAGAGUCCACUGGCAAGGUGAAUGUCAAGUUCUGGCAGGAGGGCGGUCCCAUCAAAUGCAUCCUGCAGAGCAUGAAGAAGGUGUUCUUCUAUGAGUUCCGAGGGUCGAGAAGCGAGGUUGCUUUCCUCAAGUUCGUCGCGGAGAAGGCUCGGGCGCUGGAAGAGAUGGUGGUUGUGGUGGCCAUAGAGUGUUUCUCCCUGGGGGAUGAUAAUGUGAGCGUGAAGCUGAAGCCUCUAACCAGCGCAAAAUGGAACAGCAAAGCUUGUAGACUAGAGCUCUUCAAGAGCCCGGUCACUGGCGGUUCAGGUCAUGCUUACAACCACGAACUAGCUUCUGAUUUUGGGUUUGCUGACCCUUUUGACCUCAAGUACUACAAAAAAGCAGGAAGGAUCCCUGUAAGUUAA